rnacentral:rRNA from 1 species
CCUACGGGUGGCAGCAGUGGGGAAUAUUGGACAAUGGGGGGAACCCUGAUCCAGCAACGCCGCGUGGAUGAAGAAGUAUUUCGGUAUGUAAAGCUCUAUCGGCAGGGAAGAAAAAAAUGACGUUACCUGACUAAGAAGCCCCGGCUAACUACGUGCCAGCAGCCGCAGUAAUACGGAGGGUGCAAUAGUUAUGCGUAUAUACUGGGGGUAAAGGGGGCGUAGACGGUGACGCAAGUCAGGGGUGAAAGGCGGGGGCUUAACCCUCGGACUGCUUUGGAAACUGUAUAACUGGAGUGCAGGAGAGGUAAGUGGAAUUCUUAGUGUAGCGGUGAAAUGCGUAGAGAUUAGGAGGAAUACUAGUGGCGAAGGCGGCUUACUGGACUGUAACUGACGUUGAGGCUCGAAAGCGUGGGGAGCAAACAGGAUUAGAUACCCUAGUAGUC